CCAAUAGCGUAUAUUAAAGUUGUUGCAGUUAAAAAGCUCGUAGUUGAAUUUUGGGUUUGGCCGAUUGGUCCGUUCUUGUAGCGAGUACUGGUCGGUUGGGCCUCACCGCUUGGGGAAGGGUAAUGUCCUUUAUUGGGUGUUGCUCGGAGCCAAGACCUUUACCUUGAAAAAAUUAGAGUGUUUAAAGCAGGCUUAUGCCGGAAUACAUUAGCAUGGAAUAAUAGAAUAGGACCACGAUUCUAUUUUGUUGGUUUCUAGGACCGUUGUAAUGAUUAAUAGGGAUAGUUGGGGGCAUUAGUAUUCAAGUGUCAGAGGUGAAAUUCUUGGAUUUAUUGAAGACUAACUACUGCGAAAGCAUUUGCCAAGGAUGUUUUCAUUAAUCAAGAACGAAAGUUAGGGGAUCGAAGACGAUCAGAUACCGUCGUAGUCUUAACCAUAAACUAUGCCGACUAGGGAUCGGGCGAUGUUGUUUCAAUGACUCGCUCGGCACCUUAUG
rnacentral:misc_RNA from 1 species